AUACGUUCACUCCCAUUGGGAGCGCAUGCAUUCUAGUGAUGGAACGGGCACUAG
ncrna:unclassified sequences Glutamine-II riboswitch (downstream peptide RNA)